rnacentral:rRNA from 1 species
UACGUAGGGGGCAAGCGUUGUCCGGAUUUAUUGGGCGUAAAGCGCGCGUAGGCGGUUUCUUAAGUCUGAUGUGAAAUCUUGCGGCUCAACCGCAAGCGGUCAUUGGAAACUGGGGAACUUGAGUGCAGAAGAGGAGAGUGGAAUUCCACGUGUAGCGGUGAAAUGCGUAGAGAUGUGGAGGAACACCAGUGGCGAAGGCGACUCUCUGGUCUGUAACUGACGCUGAGGUGCGAAAGCGUGGGUAGCGAACAGGAUUAGAAACCCCCGUAGUCC